rnacentral:lncRNA from 1 species
GUUAGUUAGUGUCUUAUCGUGUGAUAAAUAGAUGGUUUCUUUUUUUAUCUCUUUCUCUCUCUCAUUCUCUUUCUCUUUCUAUACUUCCCAGUGGGAGGUGUUUGUGAUCUAUUCUAAAGUAAGAUAAACCAAUAUAAGUGCGCAACGAGAUAAACCAACCAGGGACUGACUGACUGACUGACUAACUAAUUGACUGAUUAAUUGACCAAAUUCGAAGAACCAAUCAACAUCAUCACAAGUAAUGGAUCCAUCAUCCGAAUUUUACAAUUUAACAAAUAUUAUCUUUCAGAAACUAACUGUGGUGGUGGCAGUAAGGACCAAAUAAAAGGGACAAAGAAAAUGGUUCUGAAAGAAGAGAACUUUGGGCAUAGACCUAAAAAUUUAACAGCAUUCACCACCGGAGGAGAUGAACCAGAAAGAGCACAGUAGAGUUAAGGACGCUCGGGAAGACAUAACCUCCUCUUACGAAAAAGAUGAAAAAAUAAAAAGGAAAAAAAAAUGGCUUUGAGGAGGGAGGGGAGGAUUGAAGAGAAGAAAGAGAGAGAGAGAGAAAGAAAAGACCGUUAGGAAGAAAAAAGAAGCAUAAUGCAGAGAAAAAGAUGGACACGUAAAGAAGAGAAUUCAAAGAUGGCGCGUAAAUGGUGCAUAGGUGGCACGCAAGUCGCGCUGGCGAUGCUGCUGCUGUUGCUGCUAUUGGUGGGGUGGUUUGUGGUGGGGUGUGGGGUACAAACUAACACCCUCCCCACCAUCACGAAAGCACACGGCGCAGAAAGAAGUGCCGUUGAAGCUGAGCAGUGAGCGAACGCAAAGCAAGAAAUCAGUCGCGCGCUGAACGUCGUUAUCUAUGUUUCCCGAGACGAGAAGAAGAAGAAAAAGAAGAAGAAUUUCACGGUGCAAAAUCGUGAAGCAGAACGCGAGAAUGGUGACGUUGAAAGAAGAGAGAAAAAGAAGAAGGUGAAGAAGUAGAAGAAGAACAUGGAGGAGGAGGAGGAGGAGGAUAGGAGGAGGGGUGGAUUGAAACGCGGCUUUUCUCGAACGGUUUUUGCAACCACGAAUGACGAUGAGAUGACUAUGGAUGACGAUGAUGAUUGUUCAUCGUCAAUGAAAGAAUAAACUUUUGGUUAUUUCCUGUUCUCUGAGUGUGUCUACGUUCUUUCGGAAAUUAAAACGCGUGCCCAAAGCCCCUUAUCAUUCUCCUGUCCGGUGUACAACCGUCAAACGACUGGACGGAGAACUGAUAAGGGCCCGAGGGUCACAGAAUCAUCCAUGAAGAGAAAGAAAAUUCCAUAGAUGUUUAAAAUGGCGUCGUCGUCGUCGUCGUGUUAUAUGUUCCCGGAAGAAGAUAGACGAAGAAAAGGGUUAGAAACUAGUAUCGGUUAAGAAACAUAAAUGAAAUAGCAAUAAUACAACAUGUAUAAUAGUAAUAUUAUUUAUAUAUUUUUUUUCAUAUUAUCAGUCCCACAAUAAAAGGGAAGAUUCAUCUGAGAAAAUGAAUGAUGAUAGAAAAAAAUGUACUUUGUUCAUUGUAGUAUUAAAAAAUGUGCGCAUAUAGGCGAAUAAA